rnacentral:tRNA from 1 species
GCGUUCGUAGCUCAACUGGAUAGAGCAUCGCCCUUCUAAGGCGAGGGUUUGGGGUUCGAGUCCCUACGGACGCACCA